CCUACGGGGGGCUGCAGUGGGGAAUAUUGCACGAUGGGGGAAACCCUGAUGCAGCAACGCCGCGUGAGCGAUGAAGGCCUUCGGGCCGUAAAGCUUUGUCUUAAGGGAAGAAUCCUUCGGUUACCUUAGGGGGACGCCCCGCCAAACUACGUGCCAGCAGCCGGGGUAAUACGUAGGGGGCUAGCGUUAUCCGGAAUUACUGGGCGUAACGGGUGCGUCGGCGUCCCUUCAAGUCAGAGGUGAAAGGCUACGGCGCAACCGUAGUAAGCCUUUGAAAAUGUAGGGCUUGAGUGCAGGAGAGGAGAGUGGAAUUCCCAGUGUCGUGGUGAAAUGCGUAGAUAUUGGGAGGAACACCAGUUGCGAAGGCGGCUCUCUGGACUGUAACUGACGCUGAGGCACGAAAGCGUGGGGAGCGAACAGGAUUAGAUACCCGAGUAGUC
rnacentral:rRNA from 1 species